CUUUCAAUUCCAAUACCUCAGCGUCAGCAUCGUCGUCGUCGACGAAAUAUAGUCGUUUUGUCGUCGUACCUACUUGUAGUCGCUGGUUUGCGCUUCAAAUCAAACACAGAAGAAAAAAAAAAACACAAGAAAUGUUUCCCAAGUAUAUUUUUGAGUGCUUUUGUGAAAUCAGUCGACGACGGGCAUUCAAACUCACUUGCCACAGAGUUCUCCUUUUCUUUUCCGCAAUUCCGAUUCAACAAGAAAAAGAAAAAUAAUAUUAAAUGAAAAAAAUAAAACCACAAACGAGAAGAACAAAAAAAAAAAAUACUUCGUGUGUGCAUCUUAAAAAUAUAAAUGCCUUUUUUAUGUGUACAUAAAAAUACAUGAAAAAGUUUAUAUAAUUAUACAAGAAGAAAUAAUCAUAUCAUUCUCUCAUCGGGAGAGAGCAAAGCGAUUGAGUUUACGCUGCUGCGGCAAAAGAGAACCAUACCAAAUGAAUAGAGGUGCUGCUUGCUGCUCAUGUUGAUACCGAAAUAUAUAUAUUUUUUUUUUUUUUUUUUUUUGGAAACGUUAUCGAUGUCUCUUCUCGGAGGUUUGCUUUCGGUCGGUUGAAUAAAAAUGGUACAACAACGAACGCCCGCUCUACAUGAAUAUAAAUUUUUUUUUCUAAAUGCCACAAGGUUCCUCUCUCAUAGUGGGUGCGAUAUUUGAACGUUUGUUGAAAAAAAUGCGUUUCGAGAAUUGUCGAGGUUAUAAAAAAUAUUGAACAACAACAAUCUUAAGAAAAUAUGAAGCAAUAGAAUCAGGCACUUUUCUGGUAGUACCUUAGCCAUUGGUUGAUGUGUUGAUUUGGUGUGGAUUUGCGAUUGCGAUGGGUUAGCUUUUGGUGCCACCAUCACCACCACCGUCACCGCUACCACCGCUGUCGUCGCCGUGUCGUGUACAAGAUCGUGCUGUUUAUCUCGUUUGGUUUUUUUUUUUUUGAGAGUUCGCGCGUUGAAAACAGGAAUAUGGUAUAAAUCGUUCGUAACCUGAUUUUAUAAUCAACUCCACAAGAGCGAUAUACAAGAGCUAAAAGAAAACGGAAACACUCUACGUACGAGAACGAAAUAAUGAAACACAAAAAAAAAAUGUCGAUUGUUUGCCGGACGAUUGAUGGUCAAACUCGUGCGCAACACAAAAUAUGACGUCGGUGUUAGUCGAAGAUUAUGAAGAGGGAAAGGAAGGUAGAAAAAAUCUUUUUUGUUGUUUUUGGGUCGACGUUGUCAUCGUCGUCGUUGUCGUCAGUGGUAGAACCGCUGUUGCUUUCCGUUCACAGACAUUCUUUGAGUAUUGAUUUUAUUUUGAAUUUGAAUCUGAAUCAUUUUUGGAUGUUGAUUUGGUAUUAAAAAUAAAUUUUUAUUCGUUUCCCUCUCUUCCUGGCUCUUGAAUGAAUUUUUUUCAAACUUCUGCCAUGCAUAACUGCUUUCUGGUUAAAAAAAAAAGAAAAGAAAUCAUCAAUUUUUUUUUAAACAGCUCAAAGUGAAAUGAAGAAUGAGCAGGCAGUCUAUGCUACAGCAAAUAACGAAAUCAUUUGCCUCUUUAACUUGUUUUUCAAGUUUUUUUUUUUUUUUUUUUCAUUUUUGUUUCUUGGUAGUAUCUUUUUUAAGACAAACCGAAAAGGGGCACAACCAAUACAUUGCUUUGCUUUGACUGCAGUCAGUCAAUACAACAAAAACACCAAUUUUGGUGUUUUUGUAUCUCCUCCAUAUUGAGAUUGAAUGAUGGGGUUAGUGAGUCUUAUGAACUCUCAAAUGCCCGUGUAAUUACUUUAAAAUGAGUACUCCUCAUGGGAAUUAUCGUUUCUAUAGUUUCGAUAUAUGACUUUGUCAAUUGGAAUGUACAUGUGGUUCUUUUUCGAUUGUAUGCCCAAAAACAACAAAACUCUUGAGUCAUAUCUAUUUGGUCAUAGUUGAGAACUUCACGUCAUUAAAUAUCCAUUCAAAGAUAACUGAUUUUUUUUUUUCUAUCCCAAAAUCCAUAAAAGUCCCAAACGGUUAAACCGAAAUUGCAAAUAAAAAAAUUAAAUAAAAUAUAAAAACAUCCGCGCGGAGGCACGAUAAAAAUUAUGAAUCAUCCAACACAAUACAAUAGAAUUUGUUUCUAUACUACCUAUUUUUAAAAUAAAUUCUCAUUCCGAUGGUGACAUCGUGCUGUGAGAUGUUUGUAUUUUGACGAUAUGAUGUGACGAAGUGGAUGAAUGAUAGAGAAUCAGAACCAUCAGAAAGGAAAGGAGAAGCAUCAAAUUCGUUAGAGAACAAAACACACGGCACGGCGCAAAAGUAUUGCAUUGGUUGAAGGAAAAAUCAUUGGAAACGAUGGCAGACAGUCUUUAAUUUUUGUGAAGUAUAGAAAUCACGAAGAAAAUGCAAGUAAACUCAGCGAGAGGGCUGAUAAAAUGGGAUCGACCAAAUAUUUACCAAAUCGACGACGAUUGAAUACGACGACACACGGUGGUGCAAGUGUGCGAUGAAAACGUAGAUAAAUAGUUGAAAAUUUUAAUACAAAUACACAGCACUAAACGUAUAGCAGUGUUGCCGAAGUUGAAUCUGGUACCUAUUUUCCAGCGGAAUUGCAUACCUAUCACAUUUGGGAAAUUUUGGUAAAGUGAAAGGAAAAACUUUGCAGGAAUAUGUAUUGAUGGGAAUUUGACUUUUUCUGUAAGAUAACUUCAAUUUUUUUUUGUAAGAAAACUUUCUCAUCUAAUCUAAUGUAAUCUAAUGCUGAUGCGAGAUGAAAAAUCAGAUGCAAAAAUUUUAGUAGAUACGGAAAAUUUCGUUUUGCUUUUUGUUUUUCAGUACGCAGCUCUAGCGAAAAAUUGGAGAGUUUUCACUCUUUUGUCACUUACUUUUUACCGUCCAGAAGGGUUCCCAGGUUGAGGGGAAAAUCACCAUUUUUGCCGAUUUUUUUAAACGAAAAGGAUAAAAUAGGGGACGGGGAUAAAAAAGGGGAAAAAAUAUCUAAAAGGGGAAAAAUCUAAGCUUACAAAAAUAUUAAACACAAUCUUUAAACAAUGGAAUCUAUUUAAAUAAAACUCAAUUUCGAAAUAACCUAUCGUAUUCCACGCUAAGUGGAUUUUGAAUUCCUCAGCACUAUUAAAGAAUAGGGUGCUUUAAUUUUGUAUUCACUCCUCAAAAUACUUAAUACAUACAUAUUACAUUAAUUACAUUUAAUUUUUUCGAGUAUAUCAAACAGAUUUGAGCCUGCUGCGCGACGGCAGCCCAAAAAAGACUAAUAAAUUGUUACGACACAUAUCGUGGUUGAAGAAGCCUGCCUUUUACUGUAUGUUUCCACUUACCGUAAAUCCGAGAUUUAGCUAAGUAGAUUUAGAACAAAUCCCGAGAUUUAUUUUAAAUCUACUUAGCUAUCUCGUAUUUACGGUAGGAUUUUUCCUCAAAAUAAGAUUUAUAUGUACCAAAAAUAUAAAUUUUUUUUUAUGAUUAA